GCUUCUCAAUCUUCAUGUCCUCUGUUAGUAAUUGACAACUGAGAGACUCCAGUUCAGUCGAAAACUCGAGAGGAUCCUGACUCAAUCUACCAUGUGCUUAUUAUGUCAUGUGCAUCGCUGCUGUGUAGAAAGUACUUCUGCUUCAGUACAUUCAGAGAUUUUCACUUCUUUCUCUGAUUGAUAUUGAUUCCAGAAUGGAAGGUGACAAAUGCUUCAAGAUACAUGCUAAUCUUUAGGUGCAUUUGAAGGUCUGGCUGCAUAGUUGUUAUCUGUUUACCCAUCAUUUUAUAUAGGAUUUCUGCUGCCAGUUUUUUUUGGAGGGUACAAAAAUAAAUCUAUAAACUAAUCAAUCUAACUUGAUGAAACUUAAAGCAAAUUGCAGAAACUUUUUUUCACAAGACCAUGUUGGGGAGUUGCAGAAACUUAAAGCUGAGAUGGAAGAGAUGAAGACGGAGCGUGAGAUAGAGCGUGAGGAGCUGCGGAGGCAAUUGGAGCAGGAGAGGAGAGAGCGUGAGGAGGAAAAGAAAGAGCGAGAGGAAAAACAGAAGCAAAUUGCACAUCUUACAAGUUUGGUGACAGGGUUCUUAAAAGGAAAGACUCAAACGCACAAGUCAUCUAUCCAUCAUGAUGGGGCCAUGUAUUCAACUGGUGGUACAAAUACUCGUUGAUACAUGGUGGAGUUAUGAGCAUGUGAAAUCUAGUUUCUGGUGCAUGGAUAGCUUUUGUUCAGAUGAUCAUGGUGGAGUUAUCUACAAGCAGAAUCUAGUUUUUGGUAUAAGAAUAUUUUGUCUACAUGAUGCUUGUUUGGAUGAAUAGCAACAUCAGAUAUUUUAGAAUUUUUAAUUUACAUUUUGAUGUGUUUGGUGAUGAUUAUCACCUUAACAUAUGGUAUGGAUGAAACAUUUUGAUGUAUGGUUAAUAGGUAUGCUUGACUUUAGACUUAUAGAUGAUGAUAUUUAUAAUGAAUGAUUAUGGAUUCUCUAACA